rnacentral:rRNA from 1 species
UACGUAGGGACCAAGCGUUGUUCGGAUUUACUGGGCGUAAAGGGCGCGUAGGCGGCAUGACAAGUCACUUGUGAAAUCUCUGGGCUUAACCCAGAACGGCCAAGUGAUACUGUCGCGCUAGAGUGCGGAAGGGGCAAUCGGAAUUCUCGGUGUAGCGGUGAAAUGCGUAGAUAUCAUUUGGAACGCCAAUGGUGAAAACAGGUAGCUGGGGGUCUGCUGACGCUGAGACACGAAAGCCAGGGGAGCAAACGGG